rnacentral:rRNA from 1 species
AUUGAACGCUGGCGGCAGGCCUAACACAUGCAAGUCGAACGAGUGGCGGACGGGUGAGUAAUGUCUGGGAAACUGCCUGAUGGAGGGGGAUAACUACUGGAAACGGUAGAUAAGACCGCAUACCAUCGGAUGUGCCGAGAUGGGAUUAGCUAGUAGGUGGGGUAACGGCUAACCUAGGCGACGGUCCCUAGCUGGUCUGAGAGGAUGAACAGCCACACUGGAACUGUGACACGGUCCAGACUCCUAGGAGAGGCAGCAGUGGGGAAUAUUGAACAAUGGGCACAAGCCUGAUGCAGCCAUGCCGCGUGUAUGAAGAAGGCCUUCGGGUUGUAAAGUACUUUCAGCGGGGAGGCGUUACCCGCAGAAGAAGCACCGGCUAACUACGUGCCAGCAGCCGCGGUAAUGC